rnacentral:rRNA from 1 species
CUGUCCAAGGAGGUGCUUGUUCAAGUGGCCUCGCUUGAAUCAUCCCAUGUGAUCUGGACUGUGUUAGCAAACAUGUUUUCUGCAAUUUCCCUGUCUCGCAUCAAUAACAUCAGAUCGGCCCUCACGAACGCCCAGAAGGGAUCACAGUCGGCCUCCACCUACUUCGGGCAGAUGCGCGCCCUCUCCGACGAGCUUGCGGUGGCGGGCAAACCGCUCGGGGAGGAUGAACUCAUCUCCUUCAUCGUCGCCGGGUUUGAUAUGGAGUAUCAGCCAAUCAUCUCUGCACUCGACGUCCGCACCGAGCCUAUCACCGUCGACGCGCUCUUCUCAAUGGCGGCAAACUUUGAUCAACACGUUGAGAUGUUCAACGGCGCUGGUGGCUUCAAGUCAUCGGCGAACGCUGCCUCUAGGGGUCGCUCGGGUGGUGGCAGAGGCGGCUACCGCAACCAGAAG